AAUUGUUCGAAAUGGUAGUUUGGUUACCAAGAAGUUUAUUCACAAGAUGUUUGUCUUUAAUUUUUAUUUACACACACACUUUUACUAUAAAAUCCACAGCAAAUGCAUACUUACGCAACUGUAAAGAGACUUAGAUAAAUCAAAUGCACAAAACAAUUUUUCUAUAUGUUGUCAAAUGCAAGUCUGUCAAGUUUUGCUAACGUAGAAAAAAUCUAACGAACCUUAUAUAAUAAAGCUAAACUAAGUGAAGAACAAAUAUUUGCUCCUUCAUGUGACUGGUUAUAAAACAAAAAAAGCUACAGUUUUGUGUUUCUUAUCACUGAUUUAUUUCUCAUGUAAUUCUUGUUAUUAUAUUAGAAUAAAUAGACUUGGGAUGCAGAAAAGCAAGAGGAGGUGAAGAUAGUAUGGUUAGUUGCCUCAAAGGUGCAACUUAGGGACAUGUUUUGUGAGGUAGAGAGACACAAAAAAAAAGAAAAAAGAAAAAAAAAUGUGGUUCUAAAGAUGCGGUUGAUUGGAAGGGACAUGGACCAUAGUGGUUAAGCCUUGAGCAUUGGAAUGAGCUUGUAGAAAAAAAUGGAACAAUGAUGAAUGGAAGAAAAAGUCCAAAUCUGGACAGGAUAAUCGGCUAACACAUAAAUCAGGAACAGUGACUAAGCACAUAUUCGGUUUGAUAAUAAUUGCCGUGCACAAACAUAAAAUGGUAGGUCUCUUUGAAUGUUUUUGAUACACAACUAAUUAAAUGUGUAUGUUUUUGCUUACUUUAUUUGUUUAAUAUAUAAAUUGGUGAAUGUAUGAUCUACUAUGAUAUAUUUGUUGUUGGAAGGGACAUGGACCACAGUGGUUAAGCCCUGAGCAUUGGAAUGAUCUUGUAGAAAAAAAUGGAACAAUGAUGAAUGGAAGAAAAAGUCCAAAUCUGAACACGAUAAUCGGCUAACGCAUAAAUCAGGAACAGUGACUAAGCACAUAUUCGGUUUGAUAACAAUUGUUGUGAACGAGUAUAAAAUGCGCAAAGAAUUAGGUCGACCACCACAUGCUUUAGAGUUGUUCAAAUGUGUACAUAAGCGAAACAAGGGACAAGGAGAAUAUGUUGAUAAUGAAUCAUGACUUGUUUGUGAAAAGUAUGAGCUUUCUAUGGAGUUAAAGCAUGGUUUAGAGCUAUUAUCACAACCUGAUAUUGAUAUUGAAUUGUGGUGUGAAGCAACCCAAGGCCCAAGUAAAGGUAACCAUUUGUAUGGUCUUGGUACUUCUCUAUUGGCUUCAAGUACAUCUUCUAGAUCUAAGUUUGUUCCAUCUAUGGAGUAUGAUGAUGGAGAUGUUAGCUUAAAACAGCAUAUUCACAAUGCUUGCGAGAAGAUUGAUGAGCGAACAAAGGAAAAAGAUGAUAUGCAUCGAGAGAUAGAAGAGGUAAGGCGGGAGCGUAUAGAGUUUGAAAAACAAAUGUAAGAGAAGAGGCAUGAAGAUGAGAGGAAGCAUAUAGAGUUUGAAAAAAUGAUCAUGAGUAGGAUCAAUGGAUGGCAGACUCCUUAAUCUCAUCAAUCUUCUUGCAUGAGCUAACAAAGGAAAAAGAUGAUAUGCAUCGAGAGAUAGAAGAGGUAAGGCGGGAGCAUAUAGAGUUUGAAAAAGAAAUGGAAGAAAAGAGGCAUGAAGACGAGAGGAAGCGUAUAGAGUUUGAAAAAAUGAUCAUGAGUAGGAUCAAUGGAAGCCAGACUCCUUAAUCUCAUUGUUAAACUCUCACAAUGAUCUUCAAAGCCUCGAUAAUGUCUAUAUUAGUUGGCCUAUGAACUAUUUUUUGUUAUUUUGUUAUAUGUUCCAAGGAUAUAAUUUGAUACAUCUUCGGAAGGUUUCUGUUGAACGCAAGUUCGUAGUAACUAUUUUAAAUCUUUUUGUAGUUUGAAUCUAUGAAAU